AUCACGAUUUAUUUUUCAUCUCAUUGUCUGUACCACUUAUAUUUCACACAAAUCAGGCAAACCCAGGCAUUUAUUCUUAGUUUAUCUGUAGCAUCGCGCGCUAAAUGGUAAAAACAAACAAACAAAAAAAUUGGCUCUUAGUCAUUUCAAUGACUAAAUACAUUCGGAGAUCUGAUUAGAUCACCUUCAUAUUUCUCAGGUCGCAUGACGUGAUUGAAAUGCUUUUGGCAAAUUGAGUAGUGACUUCUAGGUUAAAUACUCUUUUAUUACCUGUUCUGUAUUGGAAAUUCAGAAUAAUGGAAAAUUGCCAUUAUAUUCCCUACUGGAUAGGCCAUUGCUAUUCUCGCUUCUAUUUCUCAAGGGAUAAUGUACAAAUGAUCAAGCUCGUAUAUUUUCACAUUGGAGAAGACUGACUGAAAACAAUCGCACCCAUUUGCUAAAUCGCAGGUCAAAUGUGCUUUAUUAUUAUGGAGUCAGUAAAGGACUGUCUAAAUUGUGUAACGUUAUAAGCGUAAGCCUCGUCCCUAGUCUGACGUAAAUGCAAAUUAGGCCUAGACCACAUUGACACUUCGUUUAAAAAACAAAAUCUCGUCCACGUGAAAACGCAACAAUGUGGUCUGAAGCGCUGUCAAGAGCAUGCAAAACCAAUAGGUGGCAAUAAGAUCUCAACCGUAAAGCCAUGUUGGCCAAUCAGAAGCCUGAGACGCCGACUUCACAAGCAGUGUUGCCAGAUUGGGCGUGUCUCCGCCCAAUUAGGCUUCUUUUGGUCACGUCUCACCGGGGAAAAAAUUGCAUUGGGCGGGUUGAUGAAAUCUGGGCUGGUUUUGAUGCAACUGGCGGGUUUUUAUUUUUGACUAUAAACAUAUUUUAUUAUUUUUUUAUUCAAACGAAUAAAUAAAGUAUAAUAUGUAAUGUUGUUUUAAUUACAUGGUUCAGUUUAGCCAAUAAGGUUCAGGAGAGUCCUGUCCAGUCAGACUUCAGUCUUGAUAAGCGGGUUGUUGUAAUCGUUCUAUUAAUUGGUAUAACUGUUUGUUAUUGUAUUAGUUAUAAUGGUAUGCAUUUUGGGCUCGUAUUUUUUUUAAUGGGCAGGUUUUAUGAUCUACUUGUCUUUAGUCCAAUCUGGCAACCCUGUUCACAAGCCAAAAAUCACCGGUUUCGGUGUCUACAUGAUAACACUGCAACCGGAGUUUUAAAAAAAACUUGACCCUGGCUGGAGAUUUCAAAACUGCUCGGUUUCAGUGACCUGAUGCUGCGUUUGCGUGUGGACGAACGGCCAAACCGCAUAAAAGAAAGCGGCGGUUUUAAAAAUACCCGCGUUCGUGUGGAGAAGGGCCUUAGAGUACAGAAAAACAGUGGGAUAUACACCGAUCAGGCAUAACAUUAUGACCACCUGCCUAUUAUUGUGUUGGUCCCCCUUUUGCUGCCAAAACAGCCCUGACCCAUUGAGGCAUGAACUCCCCGAGAUCCCUGAAGGUGUGCUGUGGUAUCUGGCACCAAGAUGUUAACAGCAGAUAAUUUAAAUACUGUAAGUUGUGAGGUGGGGCCUCCAUGGGUCUUAAAGGAUAUUUUUGAUAGAUACUGACCACUGCAGACCGGGAACACCCCACAAGAGCUGCAGUUUUGGAGAUGCUGUGAUCCAGUCGUCUAGCCAUCACAAUUUGGCCCUUGUCAAACUCGCUCAAAUCCUUGCCCUUGCCCAUUUUUCCUGCUUCUAACACAUCAACCUUGAGGACAAAAUGUGCACUUGCUGACUAAUAUAUCCCACCCACUAACAGGUGCCAUGACGAGGAGAUAAUCAGUGUUAUUCACUUCACCUGUCAGUGCUCAUAAUGUUAUGCCGGCUUGGUGUAUAACUUUCUACCACUGCAAUAUAUUACAUAAAAUACAUUAAAAAUGCUACAGUUAUAAUUCAUAUCUUUUUCUCAAAAGAGAAAAAAAGACAUUUCUAUGGUACUAAUGAUUUUAUUACUUAUUGACUGAUGUGUGCAAUGUUACUUAAAAAACUGGGCCCACGUCCUAAUAUGAGGUCUUGUUGUUAUUUUAAUGCCUUCCAUCAGACUGAGGAGUCUCUUACAUUAAUUGUCUAAUUGUGUGGUGGAUGAGUAUCACUAUGUUAUCUAUGUUGUAAACGUUGUCUCUCUUAUAAUAAAGCACUUGAGUGUUCAGUAAAGCUCUUAAGGUGAUAAACUGUCAUUUAAUUUGUACAACACACUAAAUUAGAGACAAUCACACAUAAAAGUUAAACAUAAAAGAUUACACACUUCCCCUUUGACUCGGAAUCAAGCUUCUCUAGCUCUGCGUGCGGUGUGUCCAUGCUAAUGUUCUCAAAGGACACGGAGCUUUUGACAGACGCACACUGGGAGGGAAACAGGGAGACUGAGGUUCAGUUGCCUAAUGGUGUGCAGUGAUGUCUAAGUUCCAAAGUAAGAAAUGAACGUGUUUGUAUUACUGAGUAUCUGUAUUUAGGUCGAUUUAUUUUGAACACACAUGCGUAUCCCUUUUAACUUUAUUCCUUUGCUUGGCUUUUAUUAAUUAUGGGAUGUGUGCUAUUAAGGAGGCACAAUAUUAUUUAGGUUUCAUUAGAUGACUUUAUUUCAGAAUUACACGAAGUUGAUUGCUGCCCAGAGUAAUAGUUUUUGUUUAACUGUUCAUGGGCUUAAAAGGGAAGACAUGAUGUCGACAGACGUGCAUCUCUGCUCAUAAUUCUUUCGUACUGAAGCGUCCUGUGUAAUUUUCCAACAACUUUUAAGGUCUUGGUUAGAUGCUUGGUAUCUUUUUGGUAUGGUUUUCAGACAGAAAGAAGUGAUCCAUCUCUUUGCUUUCUAGCAUUGCUGGCUGGAAUUUAGUUUUGAUAUUAUUUGAAAACUCCUGGCUGGAGAUUUUAAAACUGCUCGGUUUCAGUGACCUGAUGCUGCGUUUGCGUGUGGACGAACGCCCAAACCGCAUAGAAAAAGCUGCGGUUUUAAAAAUACCUGCGUUCGUGUGAACAGGGCCUUAGAGUACAGAAAAACAGUGGGAUAUACACCGAUCAGGCAUAACAUUAUGACCACCUGCCUAUUAUUGUGUUGGUCCCCCUUUUGCUGCCAAAACAGCCCUGACCCAUCGAGGCAUGAACUCCCCUAGAUCCCUGAAGGUGUGCUGUGGUAUCUGGCACCAAGAUGUUAGCAGCAGAUCCUUUAAAUCCUGUAAGUUGUGAGGUGGGGCCUCAAUGGACCUUAAAGGAUAUUUUUCAUAGAUACUGACCACUGCAGACCGGAGAUGCUGUGAUCCGGUCGUCUAGCCAUCACAAUUUAGCCCUUGUCAAACUCGCUCAAAUCCUUACACUUGCCCAUUUUUCCUGCUUCUAUCACAUCAACCUUGAGGACAAAAUGUUCACUUGCUGCCUAAUAUAUCCCACCCACUAACAGGCGCCAAGAUGAGGAGAUAAACAGUGUUAUUCACGUCACCUGUCAGUGGUCAUAAUGUUAUGCAUGCUUGGUGUAUAACUUUCUACCACUGCAAUAUAUUACAUAAAAAAGCAUUAAAAAUGCUACAGUUAUAAUUCAUAUCUUUUCCUCAAAAGAGAAAAAAGACAUUUCUACGGUACUAAUGAUUUUAUUACUUAUUGACUGAUGUGUGCAAUGUUACUUAAAAAACCGGGCCCACGUCCUAAUAUGAGGUCUUGUUGUUAUUUUAAUGCCUUCCAUCAGACUGAGGAGUCUCUUACAUUAAUUGUCUAAUUGUGUGGUGGAUGAGUAUCACUAUGUUAUCUGUGUUGUAAACGUUGUCUCUCUUAUAAUAAAGCACUUGAGCGUUCAGUAAAGCUCUUAAGGUGAUAAACUGUCAUUUAAAACUGUCACAUAAAAGUUAAAUACAAAAGACUACACACUUCCCCUUUGACUCGGAAUCAAGCUUCUCUAGCUCUGCAUCUGAGCAGUGAAUUGAGUCUAUAUUUUGCGGGCUGCGAUCUAGCAUGUCUUCCCGCUGUUUCACUCCGCGUGGACACUGGCGCGCAAUGCGCUCGUGCUAUUGGCGGUAAAUACCCUGCGUGCGGUGUGUCCAUGCUAAUUUCCUCAAAAGACACUGUCUAAACCUGUUAUGCACGGCGAAGCUUUUGACAGACGCUCACUGGGAGGGAAAGAGGAAGACUGAUUUGCUGAUUAUUAAGGAGGUUCAGUUGCCUAAGCGCGUGCAAUGAUGUCUAAGUUCCAAGUAGGCCAUAAUUUAAACCUGCCUGUGAAAGAAACACUUCCUGAUCCAAAAUGUGGUUUGUCUCAGAAUGAGGAUGAUCAGGGGAGGCUUUUACAUCAUGAAUUUCAAGCGAACCAGAGUGUUAGAUUCCGAGAUGCCUUAGCAACUUGCCUUACGCAAUGUCUCGAUGCUACAUGCAAGGUUUUUGGGUGCUGCCGCAGGAGCUGCUCAGCAGACCAUGACGUGCCAUUAUCAGAGGAAGAAACAGAGCCGGAGCCUUGGAUUCUAAAUAAAGAUGAAAAAUGAACUUGCACCAUGUUUAACAGUGCAGCUAGGCCUGUUGUCUUAAAAGCAAUUAUGCAUAUGAAAGAUCUUUUUUUUAAUAUAAA